rnacentral:rRNA from 1 species
CCUUUAGAUGUCCGGGGCUGCACGCGCGCUACACUGAAGGAAUCAGCGUGCUAAAACCAUUGUCGAAAGGCAUUGGUAAACCCAUUAAAAUCCUACGUGAUUGGGAUCGGGAAUUGCAAUUAUUUCCCUUGAACGAGGAAUUCCCAGUAAGUGUGGGUCAUAAGCUCGCGUUGAUUACGUCCCUGCCCUUUGUACACACCGCCCGUCGCUGCCCGGGACUGAGCCGUUUCGAGAAAAGCGGGGACUGCUGCUGUCGGGGCUUUCGGGCCUUGGCUUCGGUGGAAACCGCUUUAAUCGCAGUGGCUUGAACCGGGCAAAAGUCGUAACA